rnacentral:rRNA from 1 species
GGAUCGUAAAACUCUGUUAUUAGGGAAGAACAUAUGUGUAAGUAACUGUGCACAUCUUGACGGUACCUAAUCAGAAAGCCACGGCUAACUACGUGCCAGCAGCCGCGGUAAUACGUAGGUGGCAAGCGUUAUCCGGAAUUAUUGGGCGUAAAGCGCGCGUAGGCGGUUUUUUAAGUCUGAUGUGAAAGCCCACGGCUCAACCGUGGAGGGUCAUUGGAAACUGGAAAACUUGAGUGCAGAAGAGGAAAGUGGAAUUCCAUGUGUAGCGGUGAAAUGCGCAGAGAUAUGGAGGAACACCAGUGGCGAAGGCGACUUUCUGG